GGACGAACGCUGGCGGCGUGCGUAAUGCAUGCAAGUCGAACGCAUUCUUCGGAAUGAGUGGCGCACGGCUGAGGAACACGUGACUAACCUACCCCGGUGUGGGGGAUAACGGGUCGAAAGACUCGCUAAUCCAGCAUACGAUAUCGCAAGAUAGGAAAGCCGCAAGGCGCACUGGGCGGGGGUCGCGUCCCAUUAGAUAGUUGGUGUGGUAAUGGCGCACCAAGUCGAUGAUGGGUCUCUGGUCUGAGAGGACGACCAGACAGAUUGGGACUGAGACACGGCCCAAACUCCUACGGGGGGCAGCAGCAAGGAAUUUUCGGCAAUGGGCGCAAGCCUGACCGAGCAACGCCGCGUGGAGGAUGACGGCUCUUGGGUUGUAAACUCCUUUUGGGGGGGACGAUAAUGACGGUACCCUCCGAAUCAGGCCCGGCUAACUACGUGCCAGCAGCCGCGGUAAUACGUAGGGGCCAAGCGUUGUCCGGAAUUACUGGGCGUAAAGCGUGGGUAGGUGGUCGGUGAUGUGCCGCGUGAAAGCGCCGGAGUAAUGCCGGCGAGGUCGCGGUAGACACACGGACUAGAGGCUCGCAGAGGAACGUGGAAUUCCCGGUGUAGUGGUGAAAUGCGUAGAUAUCGGGAGGAACACCAGUGGCGCAAGCGGCGUUCUGGGCGAGACCUGACACUGAGCCACGACGGCGUGGGGAGCAAACAGGAUUAGAUACCCUGGUAGUCCACGCAGUAAACGAUGCAUACCAGGUGUGGGAUGGCGUUCGCGUCGUUCCGUGCCGCAGCUUACG
rnacentral:rRNA from 1 species